rnacentral:rRNA from 1 species
GACGAACGCUGGCGGCGUGCCUAAUACAUGCAAGUCGAACGAGAGCGACCGGUGCUUGCACUGGUCAAUCUAGUGGCGAACGGGUGAGUAACACGUGGGUAACCUGCUCAUCAGAGGGGGAUAACAUCCGGAAACGGAUGCUAAAACCGCAUAGGUCUUCGAGCCGCAUGGCUUGAAGAGGAAAAGAGGCGCAAGCUUCUGCUGAUGGAUUGACCCGCGGUGCAUUAGCUAGUUGGUGAGGUAACGGCUCACCAAGGCCGUGAUGCAUAGCCGACCUGAGGGGGUGAUCGGCCACAUUGGGACUGAGACACGGCCCAAACUCCUACGGGAGGCAGCAGUAGGGAAUCUUCCGCAAUGGACGCAAGUCUGACGGAGCAACGCCGCGUGAGUGAAGAAGGUUUUCGGAUCGUAAAACUCUGUUGUUAGAGAAGAACAAGUGCUAGAGUAACUGUUAGCGCCUUGACGGUAUCUAACCAGAAAGCCACGGCUAACUACGUG